rnacentral:rRNA from 1 species
GACGAACGCUGGCGGCGCGCCUAACACAUGCAAGUCGAGCGAUGAAAUUUUAACCGAUCUCUUCGGAGAGAAGAUAAAAUGGAUUAGCGGCGGACGGGUGAGUAACACGUGAGAAACCUGCCUUUCACAAGGGGAUAGCCUCGGGAAACCGGGAUUAAUACCCUAUGACACAUUUCCUUCGCAUGGAAGAAAUGUUAAAACUCCGGUGGUGAAGGAUGGUCUCGCGCCUGAUUAGCUAGUUGGUGGGGUAACGGCCCACCAAGGCCAUGAUCAGUAACCGGCCUGAGAGGGUGAACGGUCACAUUGGAACUGAGACACGGUCCAAACUCCUACGGGAGGCAGCAGUGGGGAAUAUUGCACAAUGGAGGAAACUCUGAUGCAGCGACGCCGCGUGAGCGAUGAAGGCUUUCGAGUCGUAAAGCUCUGUCCUAUGGGAAGAUAAUGACGGUACCAUAGGAGGAAGCCCCGGCUAACUACGUG